rnacentral:lncRNA from 1 species
ACAGUUGAAUCAGGUGACCAUCAAAAACGAGUAUUUUCUAAAGUGACGACUUGUUUGAUUAACUGCAGGGUACACAAGUAUUUUUAAAGAUUGUUUGAAUAUCGGGUUACCAUCUAUUGAGGAUCAAGGAGGAGAAUAUUUCGGUCACUCGUGGAUAAUUGUGUAAUUGUAUUGUAUUGAUGAAACUAUUUAAGAGCAGGAGGAGGAAAUAAAGAUAUCAUAAUCGUCAUCUUUUCAUCGAUUGAGCUAUGAUCAAUUUAGAGGACUAAAUUUUCUUUUAAGGAGGGGAGAGUGUAAUAUCCCUCACUUUUGAAAAUUAUUAAUAAGGAUUUAUAUGUAAAUUGGAGGACCUAUAUGUAAAUAUAGAAAUUUCAAGGACUAAACUAUUAAGUUGUAAAAAGAAAAAAAAAUAAAGAAAAUAAAAAAUUUUGGUUUUAUCCCACCGCCUCCCACGCUCUCUCUGUUGAGGGAGAAGAGAAGAGGCGUUGAGGGAGAAGAGAAGAAAAGAAGAAGAAGAGGGAAAAUAAGAGAUUAGGAAGAAGAGGGAGAAGAGAAGAAAAGAAGAAGAAGAAGAAGAAGAGAGGGA